CAUGCAAGUCGAACGAGAAGUUCACCUUCGGGUGGAUGGACAGUGGCAGACGGGUGAGUAACGCGUGGGAAUUUACCCAAUGGUACGGAAUAACUCAGGGAAACUUGUGCUAAUACCGUAUAAGCCCUCCGGGGGAAAGAUUUAUCGCCAUUGGAUGAGCCCGCGUUAGAUUAGCUUGUUGGUGAGGUAAAAGCUCACCAAGGCGACGAUCUAUAGCUGGUCUGAGAGGAUGAUCAGCCACACUGGGACUGAGACACGGCCCAGACUCCUACGGGAGGCAGCAGUGGGGAAUAUUGCACAAUGGGCGCAAGCCUGAUGCAGCCAUGCCGCGUGAGUGAUGAAGGCCCUAGGGUUGUAAAGCUCUUUCAUCGGUGAAGAUAAUGACGGUAGCCGAAGAAGAAGCCCCGGCUAACUUCGUGCCAGCAGCCGCGGUAAUACGAAGGUGGCGAGCGUUGUUCGGAUUUACUGGGCGUAAAGAGCACGUAGGCGGUUUGGUAAGCACCUUGGGAAAUCUUCAGGCUUAACCUGGAAAGUUCGAGGUGAACUGCCGAGCUAGAGGACGGGAGAGGAGCGCGGAAUUUCCGGUGUAGCGGUGAAAUG
rnacentral:rRNA from 1 species